GGGAACUACAAGCCAAGCUUAAAACCCAAAGGACUCGACGGUACCCCAUAUCCCCCUAGAGGAGCCUGUCCUGUAAUCGAUAACCCCGGUUUAACCUCACCAUUUCUAGUAAUUCAGCCUGUAUACCUCCGUCGUCAGCUUACCACGUGAGCGUCAGUGAGCCUAAUGUUCAUCCAACUAUACGUCAGGUCAAGGUGCAACACAUGUAAUGGGAAGAGAUGGGCUACACUUUCUAAUUUAGAACACACGAAAGACUAUUUAUGAAACCUAGUUAGAAGGCGGAUUUAGAAGU
rnacentral:rRNA from 1 species